rnacentral:tRNA from 1 species
GGGGGUAAAGUAUAAGGUAUACAAUUUGAUUGCAGAUCUGAUUAAUGAAGGUUCAAUUCCUUCUUAUCCCUA